CAGUCGACGCUUUGUCUUUACUGAUCUGACGAGCUUGCUCUGAUUUGAUUUUAUCUGACAAAGAGUGGCGAACGGGUGAGUAACACGUGGGUAACCUACCUCUUAGCAGGGGAUAACAUUUGGAAACAAGUGCUAAUACCGUAUAAUACCAACAACCGCAUGGUUGUUGGUUGAAAGAUGGUUCUGCUAUCACUAAGAGAUGGACCCGCGGUGCAUUAGCUAGUUGGUAAGGUAACGGCUUACCAAGGCAAUGAUGCAUAGCCGAGUUGAGAGACUGAUCGGCCACAAUGGGACUGAGACACGGCCCAUACUCCUACGGGAGGCAGCAGUAGGGAAUCUUCCACAAUGGGCGCAAGCCUGAUGGAGCAACGCCGCGUGUGUGAUGAAGGGUUUCGGCUCGUAAAACACUGUUAUAAGAGAAGAACGGCACUGAGAGUAACUGUUCAGUGUGUGACGGUAUCUUACCAGAAAGGAACGGCUAAAUACGUGCCAGCAGCCGCGGUAAUACGUAUGUUCCAAGCGUUAUCCGGAUUUAUUGGGCGUAAAGCGAGCGCAGACGGUUAUUUAAGUCUGAAGUGAAAGCCCUCAGCUCAACUGAGGAAUGGCUUUGGAAACUGGAUGACUUGAGUGCAGUAGAGGAAAGUGGAACUC
rnacentral:rRNA from 1 species